rnacentral:pre_miRNA from 1 species
CAAAUACUCCCCCCGUCCGAAAAUACUUGUCAUCAAAAUGGAUAAAAGGAAAUGUAUCUAGACGUAUUUUAGUUUGAGAUACAUCUCUUUUUAUCCAUUUUGAUGACAAGUAUUUUCGGACGGAGGGGGUAUUUA